GCAUCAAAUGUUUGAUUAAACGGAUGAAAAAGAGAAGUUUCUUCCCUAUAAUUAUCACUUCUUAAAAUCUGUAGCAACUUCAAGUCUGUCAGCAUGCUGAGCAUGCUCAGAAUGUGACAAUAUAUUUUUGUUCAAUAUUUAAUUUCUUUCAGUUGCAAUUGUUAAAUGGGAAAAAAAUAAAAAUUUAUUCUUAUAAUUUAGCAAACUAACUUAUCAAAAAAAAUAUACAUGUAUUUGUAUUAGUUUUAAUAAAUUAAUUUGACACCUGUAUUGAAAAUACCAUAUUGUGGCAUUCUUAUUACUAACCAAAUCUGAAGCGCAAAGUAAUAUUAUUUCUAAAUUACAUAACAGCAUCCUGCGGUGUAAAAACGACAGCACUCUGUAUAUUAAAGCGAAGUGGGAAAAGGAGGGUAAUUUGUCAAUUACAGACAAGUGUUGGGCUCACGCAUGCAAGAUACAGUGGGCUCCCACUGGGUCUAAUGUUUGGUGUGAAUUUUGCUGGAAAAGCAUUGAGAUUUUUCAUUAUCCUUGCUCAACAAAGAUAUUGAGGAAUUGGUGAUAAAUGUUGAAGAUGUGGGGGAGACGGAGCUAACCAUUUCCACAUCUUUUGGGACUGUAAAGUUAUUCGCCAGUAUUGGUCUCUAAUCCAAAAUCAUUUACAAAAUGUUUUUUCAUUUGUUUUUCCUUCAACUUUUGAAACCAUAUUUUUGUGCAAUGUACCAGUGGAUAAACUGAAUUCCAACGACAGAAGACUCCUGUAUAUCCUUCUGGCCGCAAGAAAAAAGCCUCUUACGAGAAGAUAGCUUAAGCCUGAACCACCAACGAUAGAAGACUGGAUACAUUCUGUACAAGAGAUCUAUACGAUGGAAAAAGUGUCAUUUUCUCUUAAACUUCAGAGGGAUACCUUCUAUGGAAUAUGGUCUAAAUGGACAGACUAUGUUAAGCAUAUGAGCAGUUUGUGCUCACAGAUGGUGACAGUGUGGAGAGACGGUGGUGUUUCCUCAGAAGAACCAGCAGAGUCACAAAGGACACCAGUCCAUCUCACCACCUUGACUUGCUGACUGAUGUUCGUCUGCACUGCACAGAGGAAAUCAACUGACCGAGGAGUGUUUCUGAGUGAGGGAGAGAGGAGUCAUCAUCCAGUUUAAGUGACGUAGAUCAGUGGAUACACUUGUCUCCCCUUUAAUGGAGACGAUCCAAGUCAUCCUUAAAUAUGGGCAGGAUAUCAGUCUUGGACUGUCUAACCUGCCGGAACAGCACUGAAUGAUCACCACACAUGAGCAUGUUCCUGCAACAUGCAGCAUCUGAUCCUUCAUCUGUGUGCUUCUGCUUUUGUGUCACAUGUCAAACAGCUGGAGAGGAAACUACACCAGUGUACUGGGAUGUUUCAGCAACACGUGCCAGAUGCUGUUCCUUCAUGGUGACAUCACCAGAGACAGCCCCACCCACCUCAGGACCUCGCCAUUGAUCAUGAUGAUUAUAAUGAUGACAGCGAGCGGAACUAAGACUGUAAAAAUCCACGACCAGAAUUUUUCUUUCUAAUUAUUAAUGAAUACUGAGAGCCUCUUUCUGUGUUUUGUCUGUUUUUUGUUUUGUUUUUAAAACCUCAUUUGUUACUAACAAAGUUCACCAAACUCACACAGUUUACAUUCUGUAUGUUUCCAUCUUUACCAGCCACACUCUAACUGCAUUUAAGAAAAUAAUCCUUAGAAAUCGUCGUUUUUCUCUUUUGCAAUUGAUGAUAAUUCAGUGAAUAAACUGCUGUUUGAAUUCUCUGUAUGUUUGACCCUGUAGACUGUUUGAUGGACUGCUUGUCUUCCUGUUUGUUACCGCCGCCUGUUUUUUGACUAAAGAUUUGGAUUUCUGACUUCAACACUAUGAUUUAACUCCAUA
ensembl:lncRNA